ensembl:lncRNA
CCCGGGAGGCCGACGCUGCGACUCAGCGGUCUGAGUGGCAGGAGCCUCGUCUGGAGCCCGGGCGGUUACUGGGGAGACGCUUUGUUUGCUAACUUCGAAAGCCGCUCAGGCUGCCUGGGCCGCUUUCGAAGCCACUCAACAAAACACGCCUUCGAGUCGGCUUCAUCCAACCCCCGGUCGCUUUCCCCCGCUCGAGACAAACUCGUUUCCUUCUUCCGCGUGGUUCUCCGACGCCGCGCGGUGGCUCUCAUUAUGUACACAAAGGAACCGAAAGUCUGCUGCGUUUGAAAUUAAGAGC